rnacentral:rRNA from 1 species
GACGAACGCUGGCGGCGUGCCUAAUACAUGCAAGUAGAACGCUGAAGAGAGGAGCUUGCUCUUCUUGGAUGAGUUGCGAACGGGUGAGUAACGCGUAGGUAACCUGCCUGGUAGCGGGGGAUAACUACUGGAAACGAUAGCUAAUACCGCAUAAAAUGGAUUAUCGCAUGAUAAUCCAUUGAAAGGUGCAAAUGCAUCACUACCAGAUGGACCUGCGUUGUAUUAGCUAGUUGGUGGGGUAACGGCUCACCAAAGCGACGAUACAUAGCCGACCUGAGAGGGUGAUCGGCCACACUGGGACUGAGACACGGCCCAGACUCCUACGGGAGGCAGCAGUAGGGAAUCUUCGGCAAUGGACGGAAGUCUGACCGAGCAACGCCGCGUGAGUGAAGAAGGUUUUCGGAUCGUAAAGCUCUGUUGUAAGAGAAGAACGAGUGUGAGAGUGGAAAGUUCACACUGUGACGGUAUCUUACCAGAAAGGGACGGCUAACUACGUG